rnacentral:rRNA from 1 species
CCUACGGGCGGCUGCAGUGGGGAAUAUUGGACAAUGGGGGGAACCCUGAUCCAGCCAUGCCGCGUGUGUGAAGAAGGCCCUCGGGUUGUAAAGCACUUUCAGUGAGGAAGAACGCCUGGUGGUUAAUACCCAUCAGGAAAGACAUCACUCACAGAAGAAGCACCGGCUAACUCCGUGCCAGCAGCCGCGGUAAUACGGAGGGUGCGAGCGUUAAUCGGAAUUACUGGGCGUAAAGCGCGCGUAGGUGGCUUGAUAAGCCGGUUGUGAAAGCCCCGGGCUCAACCUGGGAACGGCAUCCGGAACUGUCAAGCUAGAGUGCAGGAGAGGAAGGUAGAAUUCCCGGUGUAGCGGUGAAAUGCGUAGAGAUCGGGAGGAAUACCAGUGGCGAAGGCGGCCUUCUGGACUGACACUGACACUGAGGUGCGAAAGCGUGGGUAGCAAACAGGAUUAGAUACCCGGGUAGU